AUACAGAGGGUGCAAGCGUUAUUCGGAAUUACUGGGCGUAAAGCGCGCGUAGGCGGAUGAUUAAGUCAGUUGUGAAAGCCCUGGGCUCAACCUAGGAACUGCAUCUGAUACUGGUCGUCUAGAGUUUAAGAGAGGGAAGUGGAGUUCCAGGUGUAGCAGUGAAAUGCGUAGAUAUCUGGAGGAACAUCAGUGGCGAAGGCGACUUCCUGGCUUAAAACUGACGCUGAGGUGCGAAAGCGUGGGUAGCGGACGGGAUUAGAAACCCUUGUAGUCC
rnacentral:rRNA from 1 species